rnacentral:rRNA from 1 species
AUGUGUUCAGAAGAGUAUGCUGUCACAGCGCAGGUUAAGGGAGUCAUAGAUGAUUUUGUGCACCUGUCUGUUUAUUAUCUCAAUACCAAGUUCUUCCUAUCCUUUUGCCUGGAAACAGAGAAGGUCAACAAGCUCUUCGAAUAUGGACUUUGCGUUGAUCCCUACAUCAUGCCGUGGCCUUCUUCUUUGGUAUGCAACAAGGAGGAUUCAGAAACCGAAGUUACGGGAGACAGUGUGGUGGAUGAUUAUCAUGUGGGCACAGAAGAAACUCCCUCUGUUCUUCUCACAGCAUUGCAAUCAUAUAAAGAAGCUCUGAUUAAUGGCGAUGUGGCAAAAGCUGCAGAGAUAGAGGCAUUUCUACUUUCUAUCGAGGAUGAGAAGAAGUCUCAUAGUUGCAGAAUUGACAGCUGCUGGAGAUUGCAUCUCGAGGAUAAGUGCCUGCAUUGA